GAUGAACGCUGGCGGCGUGCCUAAUACAUGCAAGUCGAGCGAACGGACGAGAAGCUUGCUUCUCUGAUGUUAGCGGCGGACGGGUGAGUAACACGUGGAUAACCUACCUAUAAGACUGGGAUAACUUCGGGAAACCGGAGCUAAUACCGGAUAAUAUUUUGAACCGCAUGGUUCAAAAGUGAAAGACGGUCUUGCUGUCACUUAUAGAUGGAUCCGCGCUGCAUUAGCUAGUUGGUAAGGUAACGGCUUACCAAGGCAACGAUGCAUAGCCGACCUGAGAGGGUGAUCGGCCACACUGGAACUGAGACACGGUCCAGACUCCUACGGGAGGCAGCAGUAGGGAAGCUUCCGCAAUGGGCGAAAGCCUGACGGAGCAACGCCGCGUGAGUGAUGAAGGUCUUCGGAUCGUAAAACUCUGUUAUUAGGGAAGAACAUAUGUGUAAGUAACUGUGCACAUCUUGACGGUACCUAAUCAGAAAGCCACGGCUAACUACGUGCCAGCAGCCGCGGUAAUACGUAGGUGGCAAGCGUUAUCCGGAAUUAUUGGGCGUAAAGCGCGCGUAGGCGGUUUUUUAAGUCUGAUGUGAAAGCCCACGGCUCAACCGUGGAGGGUCAUUGGAAACUGGAAAACUUGAGUGCAGAAGAGGAAAGUGGAAUUCCAUGUGUAGCGGUGAAAUGCGCAGAGAUAUGGAGGAACACCAGUGGCGAAGGCGACUUUCUGGUCUGUAACUGACGCUGAUGUGCGAAAGCGUGGGGAUCAAACAGGAUUAGAUACCCUGGUAGUCCACGCCGUAAACGAUGAGUGCUAAGUGUUAGGGGGUUUCCGCCCCUUAGUGCUGCAGCUAACGCAUUAAGCAUUCCGCCUGGGGAGUACGACCGCAAGGUUGAAACUCAAAGGAAUUGACGGGGACCCGCACAAGCGGUGGAGCAUGUGGUUUAAUUCGAAGCAACGCGAAGAACCUUACCAAAUCUUGACAUCCUUUGACAACUCUAGAGAUAGAGCCUUCCCCUUCGGGGGGGCAAAGUGACAGGUGGUGCAUGGUUGUCGUCAGCUCGUGUCGUGAGAUGUUGGGUUAAGUCCCGCAACGAGCGCAACCCUUAAGCUUAGUUGCCAUCAUUAAGUUGGGCACUCUAAGUUGACUGCCGGUGACAAACCGGAGGAAGGUGGGGAUGACGUCAAAUCAUCAUGCCCCUUAUGAUUUGGGCUACACACGUGCUACAAUGGACAAUACAAAGGGCAGCGAAACCGCGAGGUCAAGCAAAUCCCAUAAAGUUGUUCUCAGUUCGGAUUGUAGUCUGCAACUCGACUACAUGAAGCUGGAAUCGCUAGUAAUCGUAGAUCAGCAUGCUACGGUGAAUACGUUCCCGGGUCU
rnacentral:rRNA from 1 species